rnacentral:misc_RNA from 1 species
CAAUUUCAAAAGCCACAAGCACAUUGUCUGUAAUAGACCGACCCAACACAAAUGCAGACUGUGUGGACGACACAAGCUUAGGUAAAAUCUUUCUAAGCCAAUUUGCCAAAGUCUUAGUCAUAAUCUUGAAAAGGACACUACAAAGAGAAAUAAGCCUCAAAUCUUUCAUGCAGAAUGGAUUUUCAUUCUUAGGAAUCAACACGAGAAUAGUAUCAUUAAGUGUCUCAGGAAACACACCUGUAGUAAGCCGUUCUGUGCAG